rnacentral:lncRNA from 1 species
AAAUCAAAUUUUUAUAGAUAAUUCCAAAAGCGACAGCAUUUCCAGUACCGUAUCCAUUAAGUACCUACGUGGUAGAAGUACAAAGCCUUCCAUAUACAAAACCAUACAACAAGGGUGCUGUAGAAAAAAUUGUCAAAACUCCAGGUAAGUAUUUUUGAAGAGGACAAUGAAUCGAUAAUCUAACAACCUUAACAAUUAUUCAUGAACCGAAGUGGAGGUGCAAGAUACUGCAAGGAUAUUCACGGAAAUGCGAAACGUUAAUGGCAAAUUGUUUGAGAACAGGCCACAACAAAAAAAUGACCAAAAAAGAAUUAAUUCAUUUUAGAACAAUUCUUAUUUCAGCUACCGUAAUAGUUGUAAACAAAACAGCAUUUAAACUUUUUUUAUCAAUCAAAGAAAACUUUGUGGCUUUCUUCGUGUUUGGCGAAACCCCAUGAGCUUCGUUUAGCACAAAAAUUUGUUCGUCUGUAAUCGCGAAACGAAAUUAACUGGAAGGCCAUUCUUUUGUCCGGAGGUGCUUGAGCAACCAAUCAAUUUGCGCGAAAAGCACUAUCCACCUCCCGAGUAUAUACUGACAUGUAUUACUCCUUAAAGAAUUUACAGCUAUUUCAUUUAAGGUUGUCACAAGCAAUAGUCAAUUGUAUAAUCCAAGCGCCAAAACUACAAUGGGAAUAAGAUAUUUUAUAGAGUAAAAUGUACUAUAAAUCAUAUACUCUGGGACUGGGAGUAGCCCAAACAAAAAGGAGCUAGGCUAUGCAUGGCCAAUAGGCUAUACAGCUAAAAAUGCUAAAAUUUGAUAUGUCUAUCUUCCUGUUCACGCUUGGCAAUCGUUUGAAAAAUAGUAACGUAACAUAUACAAUCUGGUUUAGGAUGGUGUGAUUUAAGAAGUAUUGAAGUCUGUUGUGGUAAGUGCAUGUAAAAUAUUUGCUUUAUUAUAAGCAUUGGCGUACGGGGCUGAUGCUUUCCGGAGGGGGGGGGGCACUUGAAAGUUUGGCCAAAUUUUUAUGGAGAACUGUAAUGAAAUUACCUGAAUUUAACUUAUUUUUUGAUAAAUCUGCCCGAAUUUUCUUGAUUUUUUCUAGCAUUUGCCCGAAUUUCCAUGGCUUUCCAAAAAUUUUUUGAGGGAGGGGUCAGUUGCUCCCCCUGUCCCCUGUCUCGUACGCCUAUGAUUAUACAGUAUAUUUAGUAUCGAACUUUCCCUUAGCCUCAUUUUAAUAAUAUAUUCUUUUAUUUUUUAUAAUGACCAAUAACAAGGCUUAAAUUUUUAAUUUAAUUUAAUACGACGUUUCGGAGUUUAUUCUAUCAUCAGGUAAAAAACUACAAUUUGCGAUCUAAACAAGUUAAAACUAUAAUACAACGUUUGUAACCGUUGCAUGCUCGCGUGCAAGGUUGCGCAAGCAUAUAGAUUGCGUGUCCGAGAAAAAUUAAAUUACAAUUAGAAUUACAAUAAUUAGAUUAAUAAGGACUGCAAUUACUAUAGUCUGUGUUUAUUUCCACUACAAAGUCCAAAAUACUCAGCUCUUCAUAUUUUCCAUUCAAAUCCGGUUUAAGUUGCUGGAUAAACAAAGCUUCCGUAAUUUUCCGCUCCAAAGAUCCCAUUGUUUUUUUACCACUGUGAAGUCGCAUGAGAUUCAACAUGACGUUCAACAUGAUAUUCGAUAUUGUGUAAAUUAACUAAAUUCAAUCACUCAAAAGUCAAAAUGACUAAUACAGCCAUUUCUUCUCUCCCAAAUGAAUUAGAAAAAAAACCCAUGCAGGUCACAUUAGCUAACUAGUACCUUUAUGGUUUUCUGCAAAAAACCAACAAAAACGUCUCUCGAUCAAGGCACUGCAAAACGAUACUUUCCUAACAGCUAUCCACACUGCCAAUAAAUAUUAAAUACAACUUGCCACGAAUUUUAAACUAUAAAUUUCUAAUUAAUAUGCGCGCUAAUUAAUUAGUAUUCGCUUACAGCUAAUACCGUUCAGUUUGCGGCUGAAUUUAGAUUGUUUCUAGACCUAAGCCACCUAAAGUUCAACAACCAGUAAGUAGAGGAGAUAAAUUUGUACAAGAUAUGAAAGUUUAAAAAAAUCCUAUAGAAUAGCAGUGGAGAAAUUUAUAUAGUUGAACUUUCUAUUCUUGUCAUUGCGUGCACGCUAUAAUUAGUAUUCGCUUACAGCUAAUACCGUUCAGUUUGCGGCUGAAUUUCGAUUGUUUCUAGAUCUAAGCUACCUAAGGUUCAACAAAUAGUGGAUAGAGCGGAUAAAUUUGCACAAGAUAUGAAAGUUUUAAAAAAUCCUAUAGAAUAGCAGAGGAGAAAUUUAUAGUUUAACAUGCUAUUCUUGUCAGUGCGUGCGCGCUAAUUAAUUAGUAUUCGCUUACAGCUAAUACCGUUCAGUUUGCGGUUGAAUUUCGAUUGUUUCUGGACCUAAGCCACCUAAGGUUUAACAACCAGUGGAUACACCAGAUAAAUUUGUACAAGAUAGGAAAGUUUUAAAAAAUCGUAUCGAAUAGGAGCGAAUAAAUUUAUAGUUUAACAUGCUAUCAGUUGUCAGUGUGUGCGCGCUACUAUUAAUUCGUAUUCGCUUACAGCUAAUACCAUUCAGUUUGCGGCUGAAUUUCGAUUGUUUCUAGACCUAAGCCACCUAAAGUUCAAGCACGGCUGUAAAUACUCGUUACAAUUGUAACGCGUUACUGUGUACUCGUUACAUUUGAAGUAAUUUUAACCUGUAAUUAAUUACGUUUUUAGAAAUGUAACGAAAAACGUAAUUAAUUACAAAAGCAAGGAACGUGUUCCUUUUCCAAGGAGCAAAUUGAAAAUUCUUUUUCUUAUUUUGUAAAAACAAGAAAUAAAAAAUACAGCGUUACAACAAAAAUUCCGAAAAAUGGCUGAACUAAUUUUCAACGGAUCACAUGACAUGAUAGCUUACAUGAAGUAGUACUAUUUAUUGCGAAAGUGGAAACCACAAUUUGUUCCGAGGCUCCGAAGCUUAAGUUUACAUGCUUCGAUUUGCAUGUCAAAUGUUUUAAUAUAUUGAAAUAUCAUCUUGAUAAAUUUUUGCAAAUUUCAUAGUUUAUACCGUUUUUAUUUACAACUACUGUUUAAGGUAUUGUCUUAUAAUAUAUAUAUACAGUAUAGUAACAAUUUGCCGGCAGUGACGUAGCCAGCUCGAUAAGUGAGGGGGACGUAUUCAUAUAUUCGUGUUUGCAUUAUUAAUUUCUUUUGAAAUUAAUUGUUUUUGCGGUCUGUGAAUACGAAUAUCUGAAUAUGUCACCCCACUUAUCGAGCUGGCUACGCCACUGUUUGCCGGUAAAGGAAUUUGUAAUUGCGGUGCCCAAAGUUUGGCACCGCAUUAUAUUCUGCCUGUGAGUUUGUCCGCUUGUUUGUUAGUUUGUUCGCAUCAACACGUUUCCUUAAUCGCCUAGUAAAAAUUCCUUGCACGUGCUCGAAAUUUAUUCAUUUGUGCAUUUUAUCUUGUACUCUCAGGAUCGACUGUUUGCUAGGCGUUAUCUCUAGUUUUAUGGGCCAAACAAGAACAACAAUACCACUGUUCGAAUCAGCGUGAAAAGUUGUAUUUAUAGAUGGAAGAUUGAUUUCAAUAUUGAUUUCUAUUCUAGCGAUUUAUGGCCUUUUAAAGGCUUUGAAAUAAUCCUUCACGUUUUCCGAAUUCCUUUUUUCGAGGAAAGUUUUCUUUUCUAUUUUAAUCUCGGAUUCUCGCGAUAGACAAAUGCUGCGCCUUAUGUCUGGUCUUAUACGACCAAUAAGGACAAUAAGGCCGUUCGAUUCAGCGUAAAGCCUAGUUUCCAUUUGGUCGUUAGUUGUCGCUGGCACGACAAGUGGCUGAUGUAAUAGAGUGUCAACAAAAACUCUGCAAUCAUUAAGACUGAUUUGCAUAUCACACAAAAAGACUAUAUAUUAUAUUGGACUAUUUCACAUCUACCGCUUGUCGUGCCAGCGACAACUAACGACCAAAUGGAAACUAGGCUUAAUUGUACUUAUGGAUGUCAAAUGUAUUACUAAACAACAGAAUUCUAGCGAUUUAUGGCCUUUGAAAGUCGAGCGAGAUUGCAUAAUUUGUCGACAAAUCGCUCAAAAUUAUUAAACUAAUUAAAAAUGCAGUACGUUCGAUUCUUGAUAACUUUCGUAUCGUUGGUUUUCUCGUUUUCGGACGUUUUUUCCCUUAUUUUGAUAGCAUUUUGAGCCCAAACUAUUUUAUUUUGAAGGUUUUAAAGUGCAGUUUUAAUAAGCGAAAUUGUAUUGUUGGCUAAAUCGUUCAAAAUUAUUAAACUAACUAAAAAUGCAGUACGUUUGACCCUUGAUAACUUUAGUAUAGUUGGUUUUGCCUUUUCAGCCCUAUACCAUAUAGGGCUGUAUAUAGGGAUGUAUAUUCAUCUCACUUUUCUCUUCAUUUUGAUAGUACUUUGAGCCCAAAAUAUUUCAUUUUGAAGGUUUUAAAGCGCAGUUUUGAUCCUAAUGUAUGGACCAACUGGCGGUCGGCAGGAAAAUGUAGCGUACCUAUACUAAUUAUAACUUUAUUUGUAGGCGGAAACGCCGGAAAUUUUAUUUGUAGGCGGGCACCGCAUUUUAGUACUGUGUCUGGUUAAUUCCUUUUUCCGGAGUAAUUUUUUCAUUGUACUUAAUUACAUUUUAGAACAAGUAAUUGUAAUCAGGAAUUUAUUACAUUUUAAAGCAAGUAAUUGUAAUUGGAAUUAAUUCCUUUUUCAGCGGUAAGUUUUCAGCCCUGAGUUUAAGAACCAAUAGAUAGAGGAGAUAAAUUUGUACAAGAUAUCAAAGUUUAAAAAAAUCCUAUUGAAUAGCAGUGGAUAAAUUUGUAGUUUAAAAUUCGUGGUAAGUUGUAUUUAAUAUUUAUUGGCAGUGUGGAUAGCUGUUAGGAAAGUAUCGUCUUGCAGUGCCUUGAGAGACGUUUUGUUGUUUUUUUUUGCAGAAACCAUAAAGGUACUAGUUAGCUAAUAUGACCUGCAUGGUUUUUUGGGUUUUUUUUUCUAAUUCAUUUGGGAGAGACAACCAUGACAACUAUAACGAAUAAUGGUAACACUAAAUAGCCAAAAAUAUCGCAGUUUUUCGAGUUUUUUUCUAAAAUGAGUUCGGUAGCCCCAAUUUUUUUCUCCAAUAAAUCAGUUACGUUAGUGUUUCAGGGUACCUUACCGAACUCGUUUUGGAAAUAAUCACGGUUUUAUUCCGCGCGGCCAAAGUUUUUCACACUCUGCAAGAUCAAUGAAUGUCAAUGUGCGUACAUGUUUUGCAGGGGCAUCUCCAGAAAAACACGCACAAAAAGGUUUUUAGUCUCGUCGAAAUAUCAAAUAUAUAUUGUGUUUUCUUGCUUAGAAAUGCAAAUAUAGUUAGUUUUGCAUGCUAACUCGGGAUAUAUAACGCCAAGAAAACAGGCGAUUGUAGGUCGUUUGGUAUAAGAUAUGUCGGCGACAUGUAUGAACUUUUUGGCUUUUCUACAUAGUUUUAUAUUCGAUCGUUUUCAGUCGUAACUUGUAUGUUUUCAUGUUGUUGUUGACAAGUUAAAGCAGUUUGAGCCGGCGCAUGAUGCUGUUUCACUGAAUUUCUUUGCUGUUAGUAACACUUUGAUACAUUUACCAGUUGUAAGUACAAAAAAACUCUGGAUAUGAACUUAUAAAUCGCCAAAUAUUAGAGUAAAAAACUUUUCGCCGAGAAAAGUUGAAAGUUGAACAUUGCAUUUUUUACCUUAAAAUGUCUUCUAAAAAGACUAGUUAUUCAAUGUUCAGAGCUAAAUCAGAACGAAGUUUGUUCUUUAAGAACAAAUGAGAACAAGGAAGACUCAAAACAUCAAAAUAAACAUGACUUGUGGUUCGGAUUUUAGACUGAGAAAGUUGUAUUUAUUUUUGCAUAUAUUUUUAACAUUUUCGCGCAAAAAUUCAAGAUUAUAGGUACCAGUCCGCCAAUGAUGAAAGUGUAUGUAGCCACCUUAAUUUAACGGUUUUAGAUCGCAAAUUGUAGUUUUUUACCUGAUGAUGGAGUAAACUCCGAAACGUAUUAAAAAAUUAAAUUAAAAAUUUAAGCCGUUGAUUAUAAGUUCGGUUUCUCUUCUUUAGCGGUUUUAUCCAAUAAUUUACAUUAUAAAAAGAAUCAAAGACGGAUACAGUCUUGAUUAUUAAAAUUCUUUUUUGUACGUCUCAAAUUUUAGAAUCAUAUGUAAAUGCUAGCCUCAGUAAUCACAGCAGAACAAGUUUGUCUUGGACAACAUUUUAUCCUCCAAGUUUGAAUGUCAUUGUUGAUGCUUUCAUUAUCGUAUGGACAAGUCUACCUCUUGGAAUCUGUAAGGAAAACUUCGUCGUCUUAAAAUCAGUAAGCUACAUACAGUUAUAUUUCUAUACUAUACCUUGAGUCCUAUAGACUGAAUGACUCAACUGACUCUCACUCAUUGAAUUUUAAGGAAACUGUAACUGUAACUACAUACAUUAAGCCAUGUGUUUAUUUGAAGUCAAAUUGGGGCUCUUUUUAAAAUUAUUGUAGUGUGUUUGUUUACGCCUGAUUAGAACCGAAAGCCAGGGGGGUGAUUGCAGUUGUAAUUUUAGAUUUGUUGCAAUGCGAUAAAAAUUGUGGAGGAGCUAGGGGCUGCGUGGAAAACUGUCAAGAUACAGUGGCAAGAUUCUUGUGCGCAUCUACUCAUAGAAUCUACUGAACGUUGUUCUAACAUAAACCUCUGCAUGAAUAUGUCUCCCACUUAAUUAAAUUGUCAUGCAAAUAUUCUGAAAUCAAUACUUAACACUUUUAAAAUGUGAUUUAAUAUCUUUUUAUUUUUCUUUCUACUUUUUUCUUUUUCUUUCAAGUGCGUUCACAAUGCAUGCAGAGAGUGCCGUUUUAAAACCCAAAAUUCGAUUUUUAUUCCGGGGUAGCAUUCCCCCGGAUACUUCUUUAAUUGUGACGAACAGAUUAAUAUGUUGCCCCUCAAAAUAUAAUACAGGCUGCGCCACGCACUGGAGAACGUGAAAUUUCCUCCAAAAUUGUCUUUUAGAUAAAACAAGCCGUAAAUGAAUUGUUUCACCCAAAAGCUUCAAUUCCAAAAUUUGAAACCUGAUCUUUUGUGUAGUUUUAAGUAUUGCACAUCCAGUUAGCAAAUGCAAAAACAUCUGAAGAAACAGUUUUCUUUUGCAAAUAUGCAAAAAUUUGGGAUUACCAAAUAAAAGAUCACUUUCGACUCCUCAAAAAACAUUUUGACGAUCUUAAAAUUUGUUUUGCACUAAAAAGCAGGUAUUGUUGUUGUUUGUAAAUUUUUAUAUUUUUAUUUUAGACACAAUCAAACUAUACAUUCCCAAAUCUGACACAUGAAUGUGGACGAAAUUACACGAUCCAAGUAUGUGUAUUUGUAAUUUAUAUGGAUUGAUAUAUUUAGAUAUUUUUAUUCCUCAAUUUACUCUAACAAAAUAUAAUAAUGAUUUGCCCGUCGCGUUUUAAGAAUCGAUUUCGAGUUUCAAACAGUUUUCCUCUUUGUUCUCUCGUAAGUGGUAUACUCGUAAGAUUUGUUCUCAUGUUGGGCAUUUUGGGCCACCUUUCUGUAUUAAUGCAUGGUUAGGAUGAUAUGAUCGUUAUUUUAUCUUGUACAAAAGUAUCAAGUUAUAUUAAAUUUGACAUAGUAAUUCCAAGAAAUCUGACGGGGUCGGUGUAAUGGGACACUUAUGCUAUAUUUUAACAGAUGUUUUUGCUUUUUAGCUGGUAGUGAGGUAUGCUAGUUACGCUGGUGAUGUAGGGUGUAACACGUCACAACCUGAAGUAUUAUUCUACAUUCCACCAGGUAUUUCCAUCUCAUAUUUUGGCACGUUUGAUAUACAUAGGCGUAAACUGUACCUGA